rnacentral:rRNA from 1 species
AACGAACGCUGGCGGCAUGCCUAACACAUGCAAGUCGAACGAAGGCUUCGGCCUUAGUGGCGCACGGGUGCGUAACGCGUGGGAAUCUGCCCUUAGGUUCGGAAUAACAGUUAGAAAUGACUGCUAAUACCGGAUGAUGACGUAAGUCCAAAGAUUUAUCGCCUGAGGAUGAGCCCGCGUAGGAUUAGCUAGUUGGUGUGGUAAAGGCGCACCAAGGCGACGAUCCUUAGCUGGUCUGAGAGGACGAUCAGCCACACUGGGACUGAGACACGGCCCAGACUCCUACGGGAGGCAGCAGUGGGGAAUAUUGGACAAUGGGCGCAAGCCUGAUCCAGCAAUGCCGCGUGAGUGAUGAAGGCCUUAGGGUUGUAAAGCUCUUUUACCCGUGAUGAUAAUGACAGUAGCGGGAGAAUAAGCCCCGGCUAACUCCGUG